rnacentral:RNase_P_RNA from 1 species
AGAGCAAGCCAGGUGGCCGCGGCGGGGCCGCGUCGCGAUGCUCCUCGGAGCUCGCAAGGCUCCCCGUCGAGGAAAGUCCGGACACCGCAGAGCAGGGCGCUGGCUAACGGCCAGCCGGGGAAACCCGAGGGAAAGCGCAACAGAGAGCAGACCGCCAGCGGCCCCUUUCGAGGGGUGCGGGCAAGGGUGAAACGGUGAGGUAAGAGCUCACCAGCGGUCCUGGUGACAGGCCGGCUCGGCAAGCCCCGCCCGGUGCAAGACCAAAUAGGGGAGCGUUUGAGGGUUGCUCGCCCGAGGCUCCCGGGUUUCGGUCGCAUGAGGCGCGCGGCAACGUGCGUCCCAGAUGGAUGGUCACCCACGACAGGAUCCGGCUUACGGCUUGCUACUGAG